ACGGAAUAGAUACCCGGGUAGUCCCAGCCGUAAACGAUGCUCGCUAGGUGUCAGGCAUGGCGCGACCGUGUCUGGUACCGCAGGGAAGCCGUGAAGCGAGCCACCUGGGAAGUACGGCCGCAAGGCUGAAACUUAAAGGAAUUGGCGGGGGAGCACAACAACGGGUGGAGCCUGCGGUUUAAUUGGACUCAACGCCGGACAACUCACCGGGGGCGGACAGCAAUAUGUAGGCCAGGCUGAAGACCUUGCCUGAAUCGCUGAGAGGAGGUGCAUGGCCGUCGCCAGUUCGUACUGUGAGGCAUCCUGUUAAGUCAGGCAACGAGCGAGACCCGUGCCCACUGUUACCAGCAUGUCCUCCGGGACGAUGGGUACUCUGUGGGGACCGCCGAUGUUAAAUCGGAGGAAGGUGCGGGCCACGGUAGGUCAGUAUGCCCCGAAUCUCCCGGGC
rnacentral:rRNA from 1 species